rnacentral:rRNA from 1 species
GACGAACGCUGGCGGCGUGCUUAACACAUGCAAGUCGAACGAAGUGGCGAACGGGUGAGUAACGCGUAAUCAACCUGCCCUUCAGAGGGGGACAACAGUUGGAAACGACUGCUAAUACCGCAUACUGAAGAGGGGGAUUGCGUCUGAUUUGCUGGUUGGUGGGGUAACGGCCCACCAAGGCGAUGAUCAGUAGCCGGGCUGGGGGGAUGGACGGGCACAAGUGGGACUGGACACGGGCCAAGAUGCCAACGGAGGGAGGCGGUGGGGAUCUUCCGAAAUGGAGGAAAGGCCUACGGAAGAAAGCCGGGUGGGUGGUGGCGGGCUUCGGGUUGGAAAACGAUGUUAAUCGGGACGCGGUACCGGAAUAGAAAGCACCGGCUAACUACGUGCCAGCAGCCGCGGUAAUAC